rnacentral:rRNA from 1 species
GACGUAGGGCGCGAGCGUUGUCCGGAUUUAUUGGGCGUAAAGAGCUCGUAGGCGGUUUGUCGCGUCUGCUGUGAAAACCGGAGGCUCAACCUCCGGCCUGCAGUGGGUACGGGCAAACUAGAGUGCGGUAGGGGAGAUUGGAAUUCCUGGUGUAGCGGUGGAAUGCGCAGAUAUCAGGAGGAACACCGAUGGCGAAGGCAGAUCUCUGGGCCGUAACUGACGCUGAGGAGCGAAAGCGUGGGGAGCGAACAGG